GAUGAACGCUAGCGGGAGGCUUAACACAUGCAAGUCGAGGGGCAUUUCUGAUCCCGAGUAAUCGGGAUUGGGAACGACCGGCGCACGGGUGAGUAACGCGUAUGCAACCUGCCCUGUACUGGAGGAUAGCUCUCGGAAACGGGAAUUAAUACUCCAUGAUGAUAUACUGGGGCAUCCCGGUAUAUUUAAAACUCCGGUGGUACGGGAUGGGCAUGCGUAACAUUAGCUAGUUGGUAAGGUAACGGCCUACCAAGGCUACGAUGUUUAGGGGGCCUGAGAGGGUGAUCCCCCACACUGGUACUGAGACACGGGCCAGACUCCUACGGGAGGCAGCAGUGAGGAAUAUUGGUCAAUGGGCGCAAGCCUGAACCAGCCAUCCCGCGUGCAGGAAGAAGGCGUUAUGCGUUGUAAACUGCUUUUGCAGGGGACGAAAACCCCGACGUGUCGGGGCUUGACUGUACCUUGUGAAUAAGCAUCGGCAACUCCGUGCCAGCAGCCGCGGUAAUCACG
rnacentral:rRNA from 1 species